rnacentral:lncRNA from 1 species
ACUUCACUAAAUGACCUAUCUUAUACAUAAGAUGGGAUGAACGUCUGUCUAUUCAAAAUUGUGACCAUAGAACAUCAAGAAGGCUUCUUUAUGUUAUUCACUGACUCUCCUAAAGAAUUAACUCUGUACUUUCAUUUUGAUCAAUAAAGCAGCAAAGCAAAAAUUUUUAAACAGAUUAAUUACUAGAGACAAAGAAACAUCUGAACUGUUGCCAAUCUGAACAGAGAGAAUAAAUAGAUAUUCACUUAUACAUAUCAAAUACUUGUACAGUUGCACUCACACACUUUAAAAUACUGAACAGGCCUCUCCAGGCAUAGCGUUGUUAAUAGAAUAAGGCUCUUCUGAGAGAGGCAAUGUGUAAAACACACGUGGAGAGGAAACACUAAGAAAUGAUAUAGAUCAUGGUGCUUUAAAACUUGUUUCCUGGAGACUUUAAGAAAUUUAAAAUUUCAGAGUAAGAAAGUUACCAGAAUUUUAAUGAAAAAUUUAUUGUAUGGAGGAGUGAUUGCAGAUAGAUAGACAGACAGACAGAUGAUGGAUCAUCUUGUUUUCCUGACCUAAUGACAGAGUCCAGUCCCUUAGUUCAUUGUUACCAGCCCUAAGGACCAUAUGCCUCAGGUGCAGAAUAUUUCAUACCAACAAAGGCUCUGUCCAAAGGUUACCACUGUUCAUGAAUGUGUGUGCAUGAUUUGCAGGAAUGCAUAGAGGACUCUCUUUGGUACCAAAUAGCCAGGUUCACUACAAAUAGAAUAAAAGACUGACUUACUGUUUCACCUCUUUAUCUAUAAUGCUCUGGUUCAGUGCAGAAACUUCAUAGUGUCCCUGAGUGACUCUAAUGUCCUGGAGUGGCACCACUUUCUUGUUUUCUUUGCAUUUUUUUUUAAGGUUAAUCUGUCUGUCUCAGGUGAUGAGUACAUGCAGUUCUUUGUUAUUAAAUAUCAGUCUUGUAAAUGCUCUUAAGAUUCUUGCUUCCCAGAAAUUAUCCUGGUAUGGAAAUGGGUCUGAUUCUUACCAUAUAAAAUUUGUGUAUUUCUUAUCAUGAAUUCUAAGGGACUUGGAGAGAGUGUGAAAGUGCAUUCCAACCUGUUGAUGCAGAGGGAAAUACUGUUUUGGAAAAGGCAGGCAUCCUAUAAAAUACGGGGAAUUAGGAAAGAAUUUUAAAAUGUCUGGAUAACCAUAAAGCAUUUAUAAAAUCAGGAGGUAAGUAAUGGAGCUCUGUUGGCUUAAGCCAACAACAGACUGAGCUUUAAUCUGUGAAUGGGACCAAAUGAAUUCCCUAUAGUUUUAUCAGCUUAAACCACAUAGUCUAAUUGAGUGGCUGAGUUAUGACCACAAAUGUCAUGGCAAGUGGGAAGAGGGAAUGGCCAUAGUCAAUUUCAAAAGAAGUUUGGAAAAAACUUAUUCUGGUUGUUGCUUCACUGCUUCUUUUGUGCCUUAAAUCCUUACCAUGUACAAUGAUUAAGGGUGAUUAUUGAUGUUAUAAGUAAAGGUUUAGUUGAGCUUAUCAUUUUUAUGUGAUUUAUGUUUAGAACUUCUCUUUGUAAGGCAAGUUAUUUGUGCUUUGAUCAAAUUAUGAGCAUUAGCUUUUUUUUAUUUCUGUAUUAGCGCUCACUCUGAAAUAUAAAAGUUUACUGUAUCUUUUGAGUAAAUAGAUACGUGUUUUAUGUAAC